rnacentral:misc_RNA from 1 species
UCCGGCUUAUCACCGGCAGUCCCACUAGAGUGCCCAACUGAAUGAUGGCAACUAGGGACAAGGGUUGCGCUCGUUGCGGGACUUAACCCAACAUCUCACGACACGAGCUGACGACAGCCAUGCAGCACCUGUGUAAGGCCCCGAAGGACACCGUAUCUCUACGACAUUCCAGUGCAUGUCAAGCCUAGGUAAGGUUCUUCGCGUUGCGUCGAAUUAAACCACAUGCUCCACCGCUUGUGCGGGCCCCCGUCAAUUCCUUUGAGUUUCAACCUUGCGGUCGUACUCCCCAGGCGGGGUACUUCCUGCGUUAGCGCCGGCACCCAGAGGGUCGCUCCCCCAGGCACCUAGUACCCAUCGUUUACGGCGUGGACUAC